AAUCAACGCUGGCGGCGUGCCUCAGACAUGCAAGUCGAACGCGAAAGUUCCCUUCGGGGAGCAAGUAGAGUGGCGCACGGGUGAGUAACACGUGGAUAAUUUACCUCGGGUGGGGAAUAACAGUCGGAAACGGCUGCUAAUACCGCAUAAUGCAGCGGCAUCUAUGAUGACAGUUGUUAAAGCGGGGGAUCGCAAGACCUCGCGCCUGAAGAGAAGUCCGCGGCAGAUUAGCUAGUUGGUAGGGUAAUGGCCUACCAAGGCUUCGAUCUGUAGCCGGCCUGAGAGGGCGGUCGGCCACACUGACACUGACAUACGGGUCAGACUCCUACGGGAGGCAGCAGUCGGGAAUUUUGGGCAAUGGGCGAAAGCCUGACCCAGCAACGCCGCGUGAAGGAUGAAGCAUUUCGGUGUGUAAAC
rnacentral:rRNA from 1 species